GAAAGAUGGCAGAGUGGUCUAUUGCGUCGGUCUUGAAAACCGAAGUACGGAAACGUACCGGGGGUUCGAAUCCCUCUCUUUCC
rnacentral:tRNA from 1 species